AAUAAUGGUUUUCAAGAUCUUCAAUAAUUGAAUGGCCUUUGCAAGUGCUCCCUCCUUUCAGUCACUCCCAGAUGCCAAUGAAAGCCAUGGACUCUGUCAGGACCUAAUCCAGACACCUUCUCCUGUAAGAUUUUUUGCCAAACUUCAACUACGCCCUGACUGUAUUCCAAAAACCCCCUUCAAGGCCUGUCUUUGCUGCACUGCCUACAAAUCACUGUCACCUGGCAGACUUGAUGCUGGAGGCCAUCUGUGACCAUGGUGACUCCUGAUUUAUAGCUGUUCCUGGCUUGGUGCUAGAGGUCUGGAAAACCUUCUGGUUCCCUUCCCUUGCCUGCCUCUCAUCUGAGACUUGAGACUUCUGCCAGCAUAAAGAGCUUAGCCUACAGGCCUGCUUCUUUGGCUCAAAGAUUUGAGAUUUCCUGGCUGUUCAUUCUGCUCUGAGAUGAUGGUGACGUUCCUCUCUCCUGGGGAUUUCAAGAAACAGAGGGCUGCUCAGGAUCAUCACUGCAAACUUCCUGUCCCCAUCUGGAAGGCAGCUAGCCUGCCUUUUGUAUUUAUUCAUCUCUCUGAAAUGAAGGAGAUUACUCC